UCUAACUUACAAUUCGACAGUAAUAGCCCGAAAGCUUAUUAAUAAAUACGUUAGAAUAGAGCCCCUAUUCUAUAUGGAGGCAGACUCUAUCUCCUCCUCGUACUCCAACUGUAAAGAGAUUAUGUGGCUAUUAAAUUUUUAUCCACCCUAUGAUGCAUUGCACUUCCAUCGUGAGCAUCUCUUUCCCUUCCACUGACAAUUAAGAUCAAGAUAGAGAUGUUUAGGAAGAAAAAAGUUUACAUAAAUGACUUCAAAUCUUAUGUUAUAGUUAUUAGCUUUAAUAGUUUUAGUAUCAACUU
rnacentral:lncRNA from 1 species